CUUAAAUGAUUGCUGGAAGGUUACGCAGAUGAAAGACUGGGCAGUCGCCUCCCAGAUGUCCUGCCAAACUGUACCCUCUAAUACCUCCCCUAGAUCAGACUCCCAUUGGAUGGUAUGUCGGAGGUUGCAGUAAACUUCUUUGGUAGUAAGAGGUGAGAGUUCUUUGAAUCUCUCAUAUGUGACUAUUUGAUUGUCUACGUAAAGGUGG